rnacentral:rRNA from 1 species
GAUCAUUAUCGAAAUUAUUGGUGAGGGUUGUAGCUGGCCUUUCGAGGCAUGUGCACGCUCGAGCCCUUAAUCCACUUUACACCUGUGCACUUAAUGUAGGUCGCCCUUAAAAAAGGUGACCUAUGUCUUAUCAUCAACCCAUCGUAUGUCUCAUAGAAUGUAAUCGAUAUCCUCGCCCUGAAAAAGCGUUGAUAAACUUAUACAACUUUCAACAACGGAUCUCUUGGCUCUCGCAUCGAUGAAGAACGCAGCGAAAUGCGAUAAGUAAUGUGAAUUGCAGAUUUUCAGUGAAUCAUCGAAUCUUUGAACGCACCUUGCGCUCCUUGGUAUUCCGAGGAGCAUGCCUGUUUGAGUGUCAUUAAAUUCUCAACUCCAAGGGUUUCACGACCUUUCGGAGAUUGGACUUGGAGGUGCUGGCCGCAUAUUGGUCGGCUCCUCUCAAAUGCAUCAGCGGAAUUCAACCUUUGGCUUCCGGAUGUCAGUGUGAUAAUCAUGUUGCGCUGUCGUUUGAUCCCUCAGAGUCCGCUUAUAAUGGUCUUCGGACAAAAUCAUCAUCAAAUUUGACCUCAAAUCAGGUAGGACUACCCGCUGAACUUAAGCAUAUC